AGUUCGGAAUGUUCAUUCCUGUUAGUUUUAUAUUCAAAGGUGUCAUCACUAUAUAUGGCAGUUUCCAAUCUAUAACCUCUUUGAACUGUGGUCAGAAUUUCAACAGCAACUUUCCAAUCCUACUUGUGAAUAGUGUAAAAUUGCUAAUAGCUUCAGGCAGUGCUUUAGAAGACAGUAAAUCUUCUAAGAGCUAAUAUAUUGACGUUCCUCCAAAGCUUCGCAAUAAUUGGUGAACAACGCUUUUGCCAGUCCGAAUUCUAAAUAUGCCACCAAAGAGAGCCGUGACUACGAAGGUGGCUGAAGAAGAUGAAACUUCACCAGUAGAACAACGGCGAGUGUUAAGACCACGCAAGAAAGAGCCGGAGGAAAAACCGAUUGUCAAUGAGUCAAAAGUAAAACAAAAAGCUCCAAAGCAACCAAAGUCUACUGCCAAAAACACAGAGGAAGAAAAAUCAGAAAAUGGAGCUGCACCAAAUAUUGAUGCAAAACCCAACAAAAAAGUAAACUCAAAAAUUGAAUCAAAACGUAAAACCGAAAAAAAAAUAAUGGAGGACGUCCCAAAACAAAAGAAAAAAGGAAAACAAACCGUCUCAAGUAAAUCAAAAACUGAACCAAAAUCAAUUGGGGAAGAAGUCCUUAACCAGAAGGAAAAAAAGGAAACAGUUACCGAAACACAAAGUAAUCUCUCAAAUCUACCGGAAACUAAAGGAAUAAAUAUUAACGUUGGUAGCAGGAAAAAAGUGCGAGUGGUAAAUACCCUGAUGUAACAAACGUGUAUACGUUUUGGAGCAACAUGGGAAACGCCCCAGCCAAAAAUAUCGGUUCGCGAUUGGACUACUACUAUCGUUUCUGAAAGCCUCAUAGAAAAAGUUUGCGACAGUACCGUAGAAAGUGAAGUGUAUGGAUUAGAUAAUUGUCCAAUAAAUUUAUUUAUUAAUGUGUAAUGCGCUCGAUAUUGUUUAAAGUUUACGAAACUAAAUGAUAAAGUUUUUAUGUGAAUGAUCCGCUUUAAUGCCAUUAUUUUUAAACAACGUAUUCAUGAUCGUUACUAUCAUGUUUUUAUUUCUAUUUUUUACUAAUAUAUUAUAUAAGAACAGUU